GUACACAAAAAUGCACAUAUUGUGAGCUCGAUGAGUAGGGCGGGACACGUGGUAUCCUGUCUGAAUAUGGGGGGACCAUCCUCCAAGGCUAAAUACUCCUGACUGACCGAUAGUGAACCAGUACCGUGAGGGAAAGGCGAAAAGAACCCCGGCGAGGGGAGUGAAAAAGAACCUGAAACCGUGUACGUACAAGCAGUGGGAGCCUCUUUAUGGGGUGACUGCGUACCUUUUGUAUAAUGGGUCAGCGACUUAUAUUCUGUAGCAAGGUUAACCGAAUAGGGGAGCCGAAGGGAAACCGAGUCUUAACUGGGCGUUAAGUUGCAGGGUAUAGACCCGAAACCCGGUGAUCUAGCCAUGGGCAGGUUGAAGGUUGGGUAACACUAACUGGAGGACCGAACCGACUAAUGUUGAAAAAUUAGCGGAUGACUUGUGGCUGGGGGUGAAAGGCCAAUCAAACCGGGAGAUAGCUGGUUCUCCCCGAAAGCUAUUUAGGUAGCGCCUCGUGAAUUCAUCUCCGGGGGUAGAGCACUGUUUCGGCAAGGGGGUCAUCCCGACUUACCAACCCGAUGCAAACUGCGAAUACCGGAGAAUGUUAUCACGGGAGACACACGGCGGGUGCUAACGUCCGUCGUGAAGAGGGAAACAACCCAGACCGCCAGCUAAGGUCCCAAAGUCAUGGUUAAGUGGGAAACGAUGUGGGAAGGCCCAGACAGCCAGGAUGUUGGCUUAGAAGCAGCCAUCAUUUAAAGAAAGCGUAAUAGCUCACUGGUCGAGUCGGCCUGCGCGGAAGAUGUAACGGGGCUAAACCAUGCACCGAAGCUGCGGCAGCGACACUAUGUGUUGUUGGGUAGGGGAGCGUUCUGUAAGCCUGUGAAGGUGGCCUGUGAGGGUUGCUGGAGGUAUCAGAAGUGCGAAUGCUGACAUAAGUAACGAUAAAGCGGGUGAAAAGCCCGCUCGCCGGAAGACCAAGGGUUCCUGUCCAACGUUAAUCGGGGCAGGGUGAGUCGACCCCUAAGGCGAGGCCGAAAGGCGUAGUCGAUGGGAAACAGGUUAAUAUUCCUGUACUUGGUGUUACUGCGAAGGGGGGACGGAGAAGGCUAUGUUGGCCGGGCGACGGUUGUCCCGGUUUAAGCGUGUAGGCUGGUUUUCCAGGCAAAUCCGGAAAACCAAGGCUGAGGCGUGAUGACGAGGCACUACGGUGCUGAAGCGACAAAUGCCCUGCUUCCAGGAAAAGCCUCUAAGCAUCAGGUAACAUCAAAUCGUACCCCAAACCGACACAGGUGGUCAGGUAGAGAAUACCAAGGCGCUUGAGAGAACUCGGGUGAAGGAACUAGGCAAAAUGGUGCCGUAACUUCGGGAGAAGGCACGCUGAUAUGUAGGUGAAGCGACUUGCUCGUGGAGCUGAAAUCAGUCGAAGAUACCAGCUGGCUGCAACUGUUUAUUAAAAACACAGCACUGUGCAAACACGAAAGUGGACGUAUACGGUGUGACGCCUGCCCGGUGCCGGAAGGUUAAUUGAUGGGGUUAGCGGUAACGCGAAGCUCUUGAUCGAAGCCCCGGUAAACGGCGGCCGUAACUAUAACGGUCCUAAGGUAGCGAAAUUCCUUGUCGGGUAAGUUCCGACCUGCACGAAUGGCGUAAUGAUGGCCAGGCUGUCUCCACCCGAGACUCAGUGAAAUUGAACUCGCUGUGAAGAUGCAGUGUACCCGCGGCAAGACGGAAAGACCCCGUGAACCUUUACUAUAGCUUGACACUGAACAUUGAGCCUUGAUGUGUAGGAUAGGUGGGAGGCUUUGAAGUGUGGACGCCAGUCUGCAUGGAGCCGACCUUGAAAUACCACCCUUUAAUGUUUGAUGUUCUAACGUUGGCCCGUAAUCCGGGUUGCGGACAGUGUCUGGUGGGUAGUUUGACUGGGGCGGUCUCCUCCUAAAGAGUAACGGAGGAGCACGAAGGUUGGCUAAUCCUGGUCGGACAUCAGGAGGUUAGUGCAAUGGCAUAAGCCAGCUUGACUGCGAGCGUGACGGCGCGAGCAGGUGCGAAAGCAGGUCAUAGUGAUCCGGUGGUUCUGAAUGGAAGGGCCAUCGCUCAACGGAUAAAAGGUACUCCGGGGAUAACAGGCUGAUACCGCCCAAGAGUUCAUAUCGACGGCGGUGUUUGGCACCUCGAUGUCGGCUCAUCACAUCCUGGGGCUGAAGUAGGUCCCAAGGGUAUGGCUGUUCGCCAUUUAAAGUGGUACGCGAGCUGGGUUUAGAACGUCGUGA
rnacentral:rRNA from 1 species